rnacentral:misc_RNA from 1 species
GAUGAAGAACGCAGCGAAAUGCGAUAAGUAAUGUGAAUUGCAGAAUUCAGUGAAUCAUCGAAUCUUUGAACGCACAUUGCGCCCCUUGGUAUUCCGGGGGGCAUGCCUGUUCGAGCGUCAUUAUAACCCUCAAGCCUAGCUUGGUGUUGGAGCAUGCUACCUAAGCAGCUCUUAAAAUCAGUGGCAGUGCCCUUCGGCUCUAAGCGUAGUAACUUCUCUCGCUAUGGAACCCGGAGGGUACGCGCCAGAACCCCCAACUUUCUAUGGUUGACCUCGGAUCAGGUAGGGAUACCCGCUGAACUUAAGCAUAUCAAAAGCGGAGGA